GCCAGCAUCCUGGAUAUUUCCCCUCCCCGCUCCCCACCCACCUCCCAAGGAGGCUGACUUUCCCGGGAGGCCCCUCUCGUUCUGCGGUCAGGGACCCCAGACUGAAAUCACUGUCGUCUUCCUGACCUGGGCAAGUGGCCUCAUCCCUGAGUCUGUUUCCUCACUUUAAAAAGGGGCUCGUGGAAUCCACCUUCUUCGGUUGUCCUGAGACUGUAAGUGCCUGAGACACAGUAGGUGCUCAGCAGUGAUGAAUGGAUGAAUGAGAAGAGAUUUACUGAACAGAUUGGGUUUAUCAUCACCGUCAUGUUGGCCAGAUGCCUGCACCCCUUUUCUCACUCCUGCCGGUUCCUCUGGGAUGGCUGAUGCUAAAAGGGAAGAACAGCCCCUCAGGGAAGAUGCAGCCUCCAGAAUUUGCUAUCAUAUGCCCUUCAUUUAGGGCUUCCCAGGUGGCACUGGGAUAAAAAAUUUGGCUGCCAAUGCAGGAGACACAGGAGCCGUGGUUUCAAUCCCUGGGUAAAGAAGAUCCCCUGGAAUAGGAAAUGGCAACCUACUCCAGUAUUCUUGCCUGGAAGAUUCCAUGGGCAGAGGAGCCUGGUGGGCUACAGUCCAUGAGGUUGCAAAGAGUUGGAUAUGACUGAGCAUGCACACACACAUGCCUUUCAUUUACAUGGAACCUCUCUCACCUGCCGGGUGUCUUACUGUGGCUGCCAAUCUUUCGCAGGACAAUGAACACACACAUGUUCUACAAACUGCUGCAAAUGUUUCAGGCUUGAAUCAGGACUGAAACAAUGCAAGUUGUCUGGAAUUAUCUUUCCUUGCCUGUCAUUCCUGGUAUUAUGGUUAAGACCUGUCUCCUGCAUUCCGCCUUACUUGUUUUCUUGGGAGACAUCAUGCAGUCUGUCUCAGACACCCCAGGUCUCGGUGAGACACCCCUCUGUUUCCCCAAAGAGAGUUCUGAUGUCUCGCUUGCUGGGAAAGAUUUUUAAGAUCUCAAGAGGGAAAAGCAAACAGUUGUGGGAUAUUUGAAAUGAAGAAUAGAUACCAAGUCGUGUGGAGAUUUCUCUCAAAGGGCUGACAUUUCAAAGCUCUUUCCUGUUUUCUCAAACUUUAACAGUGCAUCCAUUUUCCAGAGGAGAAAACAGAGGCUCAGUUAAAUGCUUUGAAAGACGUGUCUGACAUCACAUGGUUAAUGAGAAGGUAGAGUGGGAUUAGAAUUCAUAUCGUCUGUUUCCACAUCCAGCUCCACUGCUUACUGGUCAGGUGGCCUUGGGAGAGCUCAAGACCUCAGCUGAGCCUCCGUUUCAUCAUCUGUAAAAUGGGACUAGUGACCUAUGAGAGAGAGAGCUGUGAGAAUUAAACAGGAUAAUUCCUGUAAACCAUUUGAUGCAGGCACAGAAUAAACACCCAACAAAUACCA
rnacentral:lncRNA from 1 species